CGAACGGGUGAGUAACACGUGGGCAACCUGCCCAAAAGAGGGGGAUAACACUUGGAAACAGGUGCUAAUACCGCACAACCAUAGUUACCGCAUGGUAACUAUGUAAAAGGUGGCUAUGCUACCGCUUUUGGAUGGGCCCGCGGCGCAUUAGCUAGUUGGUGGGGUAAAGGCUUACCAAGGCAAUGAUGCGUAGCCGAACUGAGAGGUUGAUCGGCCACACUGGGACUGAGACACGGCCCAAACUCCUACGGGAGGCAGCAG
rnacentral:rRNA from 1 species